CCCUUUCUCUCCCUGCUCCCUUUCCUCCCCCCUCACCAGGCAACCCAAGCCAACCAGCUCCCUGGCUUUCAGAGCUCAGCCAGAGGGGAGGGACCAGCAAGAGAUUAAAAUGAGGAAGGAAGAGUGUGAAUUCCAGUGGAGUGAUGUGCCUGCUGUUUCUAGCCAGAAUUCUAGAUUCUUUGUAGUUUAAUUGGGACCUUGGCUGAAAGAAUCACCUGAAUGAUAGCAAGUUUCAACACUGUCCCAUCAACUCACCAAUACAUCAACUACUUCAGCUGAAUUCUUCUUCCAGCUUUCUGGUUCCAGACCAAGAUGGAAUCAUGGAUGGAGUACCCUUCAAUUUUAAGAACGGCUAAAAGUUCUGGACAUGGCGCAUAAAGCAAAUAUAAGAAGACUCUGAAAUGUGGAGAGAAGAAGGCAAGUGACUAAGGAUCUUAGGAUUGAGGAAUGACAAGGCAACACGUUCCCUGAGCUUUCUUUUUGCCUCCUGGACUGAGUGUUGGAGAAGCUGGAAACUGGAAGCACCACGGGGACAGGUGUUUUUAAAAAAAUCUCCAGGGUGGUGAGCACACAAUACAGUGUAUGAUGGUGUAUUAAGCACCUGGAACCUGUAUAACUUGUUAACCAGUGUCACCCCAAUAACUCAA